UACGUAGGGUGCGAGCGUUAAUCGGAAUUACUGGGCGUAAAGCGUGCGUAGGCGGUUCGUUAAGUCAGCUGUGAAAGCCCCGGGCUCAACCUGGGAAUUGCGGUUGAAACUGGCGAACUAGAAUCUGGCAGAGGGGGGUGGAAUUCCACGUGUAGCAGUGAAAUGCGUAGAGAUGUGGAGGAACACCGGUGGCGAAGGCGGGUCUCUGGGCAUCUCCUGACGCUGAGGCGCGAAAGCGUGGGGAGCAAACAGG
rnacentral:rRNA from 1 species